AAUUCGAUUGAGUUUGAUCAUGGCUCAGAACGAACGCUGGCGGCAGGCCUAACACAUGCAAGUCGAACGCCGUAGCAAUACGGAGUGGCAGACGGGUGAGUAACGCGUGGGAACAUACCCCUCGGUUCGGAAUAACUCAGGGAAACUUGAGCUAAUACCGGAUAAGUCCGAGGUCUUAAUCGACCUUGGAGAAAGAUUUAUCGCCGGAGGAUUGGCCCGCGUCUGAUUAGCUUGUUGGUGAGGUAAUGGCUCACCAAGGCGACGAUCAGUAGCUGGUCUGAGAGGAUGAUCAGCCACAUUGGGACUGAGACACGGCCCAAACUCCUACGGGAGGCAGCAGUGGGGAAUAUUGGACAAUGGGCGAAAGCCUGAUCCAGCCAUGCCGCGUGAGUGAUGAAGGCCUUAGGGUUGUAAAGCUCUUUUACCCGGGAAGAUAAUGACGGUACCGGGAGAAUAAGCCCCGGCUAACUUCGUGCCAGCAGCCGCGGUAAUACGAAGGGGGCUAGCGUUGUUCGGAAUUACCGGGCGUAAAGCGCACGUAGGCGGAUCUUUAAGUCAGGGGUGAAAUCCCGAGGCUCAACCUCGGAACUGCCUUUGAUACUGGGGAUAUCGAGUCCGGGAGAGGUGAGUGGAACUGCGAGUGUAGAGGUGAAAUUCGUAGAUAUUCGCAAGAACACCAGUGGCGAAGGCGGCUCACUGGCCCGGUACUGACGCUGAGGUG
rnacentral:rRNA from 1 species